rnacentral:misc_RNA from 1 species
GAUGAAGAACGCAGCGAAAUGCGAUAACUAAUGUGAAUUGCAGAAUUCCGUGAAUCAUCGAGUCUUUGAACGCACAUUGCGCCCCCUGGUAUUCCGGGGGGCAUGCCUGUCCGAGCGUCAUUGCUGCCCAUCAAGCACGGCUUGUGUGUUGGGUCCCGUCCCCCUCUCCCGGGGGACGGACCCGAAAGGCAGCGGCGGCACCGCGUCCGGUCCUCGAGCGUAUGGGGCUUUGUCACCCGCUAUUGUAGGCCCGGCCGGCGCUUGCCGACACCCAACCAUUUUUUUCAGGUUGACCUCGGAUCAGGUAGGGAUACCCGCUGAACUUAAGCAUAUCAAUAAGCGGAGGA